GGGGAAUAUUGCACAAUGGGCGAAAGCCUGAUGCAGCAACGCCGCGUGAGCGAUGAAGGCCUUUGGGUCGUAAAGCUCUGUCCUUGGGGAAGAAUAAAUGACGGUACCCUUGGAGGAAGCCCCGGCUAACUACGUGCCAGCAGCCGCGGUAAUACGAAGGGGGCUAGCGUUGUUCGGAUUUACUGGGCGUAAAGCGCACGUAGGCGGUUUGUUAAGUCAGAGGUGAAAUCCCGGAGCUCAACUCCGGAACUGCCUUUGAUACUGGCAAGCUAGAGUCCGGAAGAGGUAAGUGGAACUCCUAGUGUAGAGGUGGAAUUCGUAGAUAUUAGGAAGAACACCAGUGGCGAAGGCGGCUUACUGGUCCGGAACUGACGCUGAGGUGCGAAAGCGUGGGGAGCAAACA
rnacentral:rRNA from 1 species